rnacentral:rRNA from 1 species
CCCUUAGAUGUUCUGGGCCGCACGCGCGCUACAAUGAUUGUCUCAGCAUGUUUUGGGUGUGUAAAUACCCAGGAAUUCCGAGUAACAAUCGUGAUGGGGCUAGACCCUUGCAAUUUUUGGUCUCCAACGAGGAAUUCCUAGUAAAGGCAGGUCAUUAACCUGCCUUGAUUACGUCCCUGCCCUUUGUACACACCGCCCGUCGCACCUACCGAUUGGAUGGUCCGGUGAAGCCUCGGGAUUGUGGUUCUUGCCGCUUUAUUGUGGCGUGACCGCGAGAACUUGUCUAAACCUUAUCAUCUAGAGGAAGGUGAAGUCGUAACA